AUACGGAAGGUCCGGGCGUUAUCCGGAUUUAUUGGGUUUAAAGGGAGCGCAGGCGGGUUAUUAAGCGUGACGUGAAAUGUAGCCGCUCAACGGCUGAACUGCGUCGCGAACUGGUAGUCUUGAGUGAGUACGACGCGGACGGAAUUCGUGGUGUAGCGGUGAAAUGCUUAGAUAUCACGAAGAACUCCGAUUGCGAAGGCAGUCCGCGAGUCCUUUACUGACGCUAAAGCUCGAAGGUGCGGGUAUCGAACAGGAUUAGAUACCCUGGUAGUCCGCACGGUAAACGAUGGAUGCCCGCUGUUGGCGAUACAUUGUCAGCGGCCAAGCGAAAGCGUUAAGCAUCCCACCUGGGGAGUACGCCGGCAACGGUGAAACUCAAAUGAAUUGGCGGGG
rnacentral:rRNA from 1 species